UCUUAGUUUUUGAUCAUGCUUCAGUAGUGGUGAUCACAUAUCUAGCCUCUUAAUUAAUGUGAUAAAGUUUGACCAUUCUUGAAAAUUUCCCUGCAUAUAGUUAUCAAUAUAAUUGAGAAAUCUUCUGUAAUUUGAGCACAUCAUGUGCUUGAAAGUUUCCGAGAAUUGACAGGGCAAGAGAUUUUCACCUAUUUUCUACAAUGUAGUGUACUUGCAUUCCUCUUAUGUCUUUUGCCAUGGAGUUUGACUUCCUGGUUCCUUUCGUGUAGGGUCUGAAUAUGUUUGGGUUGCAUUGUGCAAAAGGUCAGACCCACAGCAGUCACUGCCAUUUAGGACCUCGUCGACAUUGACGAACUCAUAGCUGCAAGAAGGACUGCAGUGGAUGCGUGACCGCCUGUCCUAGAAGUUCCAAGUGAUGUCGAGGCGUUGCCAUCCUGCUGCUAAGCUCUGGACGACUAGGACUUCAUCCAACAACACCGGUAUCACCGUCAAGUCCGGCGGGGUUGACGUAAUCUCCAGCCCUAGUGAUUUGGGGUAUGGUGGCGCCGCCGUGAAAAGGAGGUCAGAAUUCUGCUAGCCUCCUUUGACGACAAAGACAAGCUGUUUCUGAUGAUCGACCCCCCUGCCGCGGCAUGGCAGUGACUACGACAUCACAUCCUCUAGGACCCGUCCGUUUCUUUUUUGCUGAUCAUGCGACUUGUGUGCGUCUGUGUGGCACAAAACCUAGCUUAGGGCAAUGGCUUGAAGAAGUAUGUCAUUGAUCUUGGAGGAACCAACUUCAGACUCAUGAAGGUUCAAGUUGCUCACCAGGUUGGAGGAACCGAGGUUUUUUUUUUGCUGGAGACAUGGU